UUCUUGGCAUGAUCAAGACUGGACUCUCUCCAUUCCCAGGCUCAUCCAUUGAUCCAUCAGGACUCGGUUCUGGGACAUUCCAUGGGUUUCCUUGGGGGAAUGCUGUGAUCCAUGUCCGUGUGCAUCCACCUGACAGGAAACUCAACGCUCCAGGUCCUGCACCUCCAACUGGCUGGCAUUGAUUUAGAUUCUGCAGAUCAGAGCCUUUCCCUGGGAAAAAAAAUUCCAUGGGUUAAAGAUUGCUUUUAAAAAAUGGCUCCGGGUUUAUACUAAUGGAAAUGUGAAUUAUUCAGCCCCAAAAGAGAGAGGAAAGCCCACGA